rnacentral:rRNA from 1 species
ACUCAAAUGAAUUGACGGGGACCCGCACAAGCGGUGGAUGAUGUGGAUUAAUUCGAUGCAACGCGAACAACCUUACCUACCCUUGACAUGUGCCGAAUCCUGCUGAGAGGUGGGGGUGCCCGAAAGGGAACGGCAACACAGGUGCUGCAUGGCUGUCGUCAGCUCGUGUCGUGAGAUGUUGGGUUAAGUCCCGCAACGAGCGCAACCCUUGUCCCUAGUUGCUACGCGCAAGCGGGCACUCUAGGGAGACUGCCGGUGACAAACCGGAGGAAGGUGGGGAUGACGUCAAGUCCUCAUGGCCCUUAUGGGUAGGGCUUCACACGUCAUACAAUGGCCGGUACAGAGGGUUGCCAAAGCGCGAGCUGGAGCCAAUCCCAGAAAGCCGGUCGUAGUCCGGAUUGCAGUCUGCAACUCGACUGCAUGAAGUCGGAAUCGCUAGUAAUCGCGGAUCAGCAUGUCGCGGUGAAUACGUUCCCGGGUCUUGCACACACCGCCCGU